AACAGUUAUUGGACACAAAAUUAGCUAAACUUGAGAAUAGGAUUGUAAAAGGCCUGGUAAAUCCUAUAGGCAUUACCCCUCACGUAGCUACAAAACAAGCAACAAAUAUUGUGAUUGAGGAACAUGAUUCAACCGCUUCAACUCGUUCUUCUUCGCCAGUGAAAUCAUUCCACGAUGAAUGUACUAACUUGCAAAUUAAACAAUGCACAGAAUGGUAGUGUCCCAUGCACUCAAACUUUGCAGUUUUGAUAAAAGAGGUCAAGCCAUCUACAUAUGAAGAUGAAACUUUGAUUAAACGAGCCAAGUCUCGUUAUGCAUACUGGGCCAAAGGGUACACAGUUAGAUGUUGUACUUAUGACAGAAAACGCAGUACUCAGCCUAAGCCGUAUGUCUUACCAUCUUGUUGGCCAACCUUAAUGCCCAGUGAUAUGGAAAAAUUAAAAGUGCAAUUUUCCAAACUAUGAAACUGGCAAAACUGUACAAAUUACAAAUUUUAUUAGCACUUAGGUUAAAAAUAAACAUUAACAUAAAAUAAACAUUAUAGCUUAUCUUAUUAUUAUUAUAUAUAAUAACCUAACCUAUACACUUAUAGAAUAUGGAUUGAGUAGUGAGUUCUUAUGUUCAAAAUAACGUCAUAUUGUCGAGAAAAUAAAAAUAAAUACUUUAUUUUUAUGUAUAACGAUUUACCUCAAUACGAACUAGGCAACUCUUGUCAUUUGGAGUUAAGAAUGCAUAUACACGGUUGUUAAUUUAGUUUAAUUGUAAUUUGUAAUUGUAAACGUGGAAAUUAACAAAAAUGAAAUGUAAUCAUGUUCAUACUUACCAAAAAUAUAAUAUACUUUACAGGUUGAAGUCACAAACCAAUCACAAAUAUUUAUUUGCUUAAUAACAUG